rnacentral:misc_RNA from 1 species
AAGUCGUAACAAGGUUACCGUCGGGGAACCAGCGGUAGGAUCAUUAGUGCCCGAAACAAACGCGAAUGGUGGUGGGGCUGCGGCCGGCCUGUUCUGGGACCCUCUGGGUACCAUUUUGGGCGGGCCAAAGUCUCUCAUUUUUUUUUUCAUUUCCAAACCACAUUACGGCGCAAGCUGUCUUGUAUGCAUACCAAAAUUCUUCUUUAUUGUAGAACUAAGAAAUCACAACUGGCAACGGUGGAUCUCUUGGCUCGU